rnacentral:lncRNA from 1 species
GCGCUCUUUUUCUUCAUGCAAGAAAUUUUUUGCAUGAAUUUUUUCUCAUGCCCAGAAGUAGUCCCAUGCCUACAUCUGAUCUUUUUUUGAAUUAAAAAUUGAUUUAUUUAAAUUUGAGUUCAAAUGUGUUUGAAUUUGAAUAAAAAUCUAGAGUCCAAAUCGAGUUGGACUCUUCCCUUCACGCCACCACCUUUCUCCAUGC